GCUGUGGAAGAUGGCAUCACAGAUGACAUCUUGUACAGUGAUGUUAAAAUAUCAAGUCAUCAACAGCCAAAAAAACAAAACGAAGACAGUGAUGCAGCAGUAAUCUACUCAGCAGUGAGAACAGAAGACAUCAGUUAUGGUCGAAUCAUCAUCAAAAACACGAAAACCAGAUCACAGAUCAGAGACUUUAAACCAGAGCCAGAUGCCAUCUACUCUUUA